rnacentral:rRNA from 1 species
CGGGGUGCAGCAGGCGCGAAAACUCUACAAUGCAGGCAACUGCGAUAGGGGAACAUCGAGUGAUCCUCAUAUUGGGGGUCUGUCCACCCGUCUAAAAAACGGGUGUUAGCAAGGGCCGGGCAAGACCGGUGCCAGCCGCCGCGGUAAUACCGGCGGCUCGAGUGGUGGCCGAUAUUAUUGAGUCUAAAGGGUCCGUAGCCGGCUUUGCAAGUCUCUCGGGAAAUCCAGCGGCUUAACCGUUGGUCGUCCGGGGGGUACUACAUUGCUUGGGACUGGGAGAGGUAGGAGGUACUCAGGGGGUAGGAGUGAAAUCCUGUAAUCCUUUGGGGACCACCGGUGGCGAAGGCGUCCUACCAGAACAGGUCCGACGGUGAGGGACGAAAGCUAGGGGCACGAACCGGAUUAGAUACCCGGGUAGUCCUAGCCGUAAACGAUGCUCGCUAGGUGUCACAACAGUCGUGAACUGUUGUGGUGCCGUAGGGAAGCCGUGAAGCGAGCCACUUGGGAAGUACGACCGCAAGGUUGAAACUUAAAGGAAUUG